UGUCCAGGCCGUGUCUUGAACCCGGAUUUUCGGGUCAAAAAUGUCAACUGUCAACUCAUGAAAAUCGAAGAAAUUAAAAGUAGCGUUCGCACCCAACGCAUUUCAUAUCAUAACAAUAUUAAAGGUUUGGGCAUACAUGGCGAAGGUGACAAAAUGCUGUCCGAGAAGCUGCUGCUAUAGUUGUGAAUUUAACGAAACACAAGAAAAUGCUGGUCUUGUCUCACAGCUGGACGUACUAUCAGGUACGGGCAAAUUGGUAAAUUUACCGAACUGACAGAAAAAGUGGAGGUGGAUGAUAUCUACAUUUAGGCCAAUAGUGGUGCCGUCAAUCGUUAUGGACGCAGUGACACCUUUGCAGCGGAAUUGGAUUUGGAGACCGAUGUGACACUUCACACAUUGGCUCACCUCAUGGCAUUCCCUUGGAUUUACCUGAUGUAUGGAUCAUCAUAGGCACCUUGCCAUAGCAUUCCAGUGAAAUAUGGAACAACUCAUAAUGUUGCGUGCCCAAACGAAGAACCUGCAAUUUGAAGAGUCUGCCUUUAAACGUCUCAAUGAAACCCGCACUGAAUAAGAUAAGAAAAUGUGGUUACGGUCUCUCAUCCCUCAGCAUCAGCACUCAUCAAAAGAUCUUUCAGUGUGGAAGCAUGAUACAAUUUUUUUGGAAUGAAACUUUGAGUAUUCUUUUUGUUUUUGUUUUAGCUGCAAUUCGCAUGUAUAUUUGAGGUACGCAAAACAAAAUGUGGGUCGUUAAAUUGCGUAUUAUAUAGAUUUACUUAUACUUGAAUUUGCUAUUAGGUUAAGCUAAUAUGUAGUACAAAAUAAGAUGAUUAUAGUUGAUA
rnacentral:sRNA from 1 species